GUUAGAACGCUUCGUAGUCGGAUUUCGGGGCGGGUCGACCGGUCUGCCGAUGGGUACGCACUGGCCGACGCGUCCUUCCUUCCGGAGACCGUGCCUACUCUUAACUGAGCGGGGGCGGGAGACGGAACGUUUACUUUGAAAAAAUCAGAGUGUUUCAAGCAGGCAGCUCGCUCUUGCAUGGAUUAGCAUGGGAUAAUGAAAUAGGACUUUGGUGCUAUUUUGUUGGUUUCGAACACCGAAGUAAUGAUGAGAAGGGACAGUCAGGGGCACUCGUAUUCCGCCGAGAGAGGUGAAAUUCUCAGACCAGCGGAAGACGAACCACUGCGAAAGCAUUUGCCAGGGAUGUUUUCACUGAUCAAGAACGAAAGUUAGGGGAUCGAAGACGAUCAGGUACCGUCGUAGUCUUAACCAUAAACCAUGCCGACUAGGGAUUGGAGGAUGUUCACUGAUUGACUCCUUCAGCACCUUACGGGAAACUAAAGUCUUUGGGUUCCGGGGGGAGUAUGGUCGCAAGGCUGAAACUUAAAGGAAUUGACGGAAGGGCACCACCAGGUGUGGAGCCUGCGGCUUAAUUUGACUCAACACGGGGAAACUUACCAGGUCCAGACAUUGUGAGGAUUGACAGAUUGAGAGCUCUUUCUUGAUUCGAUGGGUGGUGGUGCAUGGCCGUUCUUAGUUGGUGGAGUGAUUUGUCUGGUUAAUUCCGU
rnacentral:rRNA from 1 species